AAAAAAAAGGGUGGGGGGGGGAGCAGACGUAUUUGCUUAGGUUUUCUUUUGGUUUUCCUUUCAGAUAGGCAGAGAACAUUGCUGGCUGUUGCACCAAAUCAUGGGGAAGUAGCAGGACCAGAGAGUGGAAUGAGUGGGCUUAAUUGCUCAUACCCUGUCACUUUAGAAAUCACUUGAAGGCAUGUGAGCCUUUUUCAUCCACUAAGCAUUGAUAUUGAAAGGCUUCUUUGCUAUGUAGUAUCAUAGAAUUAAUCUAGUAAAAGUCACAUCGACCUUGUCCUAAUUGGAACAAACUGAGGCUGAUAGUCAGCAUACAGACCAGAAGCAACCUUGUUUCCAGUGGGGGAGAUGCCAUUUCAUCAAUUGCAGUCCACGUUGGCUUGGACAAUAAGGAGUGAGUCAUCUACCACUCAGAACGCAAACAAUGGGCUCAUUCCUAUGUAUUUUAAUGUCACAUAGCCACCAGCAGACAUAUAUCAUUUACUCAGAAAUGCUUUAAAUGGCAGCAUUAAAUUGGAUUGUGUUUUGUGGGCGUGUGCAUAUUGGGUGGCAGAUUUCUUUGAAAAUAUCAGCAAAUAUGAUUCAAUUCCUCUGGUGUAAAUCAGGUUUAAUAUCAUUAAAAUUGCUGAAGAAAGUGAAAGUGGGAAAAACAAUCAGUCUCUGUCUGAAAUGGUGAAUUACAUCCAGACCAUGUUUAAAAAUGAGGUCAAGUGAUUAGACCAAAACAGGAUCUGAAAAUAAAAUUGAAGCCUGUCUUUAUUAAC